GUGCUUGCUUCAGCAGCACAUACACUAAAAUUGGAAUGAUACAGAGAAGAUUAGCAUG
ensembl:snRNA U6 U6 spliceosomal RNA